rnacentral:rRNA from 1 species
GAUGAACGCUGGCGGCGUGCCUAAUACAUGCAAGUCGAGCGAACAGACGAGGAGCUUGCUCCUCUGACGUUAGCGGCGGACGGGUGAGUAACACGUGGAUAACCUACCUAUAAGACUGGGAUAACUUCGGGAAACCGGAGCUAAUACCGGAUAAUAUAUUGAACCGCAUGGUUCAAUAGUGAAAGACGGUUUUGCUGUCACUUAUAGAUGGAUCCGCGCCGCAUUAGCUAGUUGGUAAGGUAACGGCUUACCAAGGCAACGAUGCGUAGCCGACCUGAGAGGGUGAUUGGCCCAAACGGAACUGAGAACCGGUCCAGAACCCUACGGGAGGCAGCAGUAGGGAAUCCUCCGCAAUGGGCGGAAGCCUGACGGAGCAACGCCGCGUGAGUGAUGAAGGUCUUCGGAUCGGAAAACUCUGUUAUUAGGGAAGAACAAAUGUGUAAGUAACUAUGCACGUCUUGACGGUACCUAAUCAGAAAGCCACGGCUAACUACGUG